CAACCCUCAAGCUUUGCUUGGUAUUGGGCUUUCAUCAGUAAAACGAUGGGCCUCAAAAUCAGUGGCGGCACCGUUGGGUCCUGAACGUAGUAAUAUAUUUCGUUACGGGUACCCCGCGCGUUUCUGCCAUUAAACCCCCAAUUUUCUAUGG
rnacentral:misc_RNA from 1 species